UACAGAGGGUGCAAACGUUGUUCGGAAUCACUGGGCUUAAAGCGCGUGUAGGCGGGGCGGCACGUCGGUCGCUGAAAUCCCCCGGCUUAACCGGGGAACUGGCGGCGAUACGACCGUCCUGGAGGGGCGUAGGGGGACCUGGAACUUCCGGUGGAGCGGUGAAAUGCGUUGAGAUCGGAAGGAAGACCAGUGGCGAAGGCGGGUCUCUGGACAGUUCCUGACGCUGAGGCACGAAGGUCAGGGGAGCAAACGGG
rnacentral:rRNA from 1 species